UUAAGUUAGUGGUAGAGUAAUGGCGUGGUAAGACGUAAGUCAUCGGUUCGAAUCUGAUA
rnacentral:tRNA from 22 species